UAAAUGUUUUUUUUAGAUUAUUUAUAUACGCUUUAUUCGGCAGUGUCAUUUAUCUAUCAUUACUCUGCGAAUACGCACAAAGUUAUUGUCCUCUUCAGAAUCAGGGGACGACAAGCACAACAACAAAAACAAUCCCUGAAAGCAGUGCUUUUGCAUGAUGGAUCGCUUCCCCCGGUACCAUUGGAUUACGCUACAAACAUCAACGAAUCAUAUGCCAGCAUGCUAUAGAAUACAAUACACAUAAGUGGCUAAUUGUAGCUGAUUUGAAAAUACAAACAAUUUUGAAUGGCUUGCAAAGUGGUAACAUAAAGUAUUCUUGCUAUUUUUGUGAAUGGGACAGCCGAGACUCUUCUAAACAUUACAUACAAAGAAACUGGAAACUGCGUUCAACAGCAAUUAUUGGUGAAAAAAGUAACAUAAUUAUUUCUUAGUCAAUCCAAAAGAUAUCAUUUUACCUCCGUUGCACAUAAAAUUGGGCUUAAUAAAGCAAUUCGGUAAUAAGUUUGCCCCAGUUUGUUAACGGAAUGUUCAUGGGCAAAUAUAUAAAACAUCAAUAAAAAGUAAUUUAAUUUUAAA